UUGCAGUGAUGACUUCUUAGGACACCUUUGGAAUAACCAUGAAAAUAACAUUUAGUUUCUGAGCAAC